rnacentral:rRNA from 1 species
UGGGGAAUAUUGCACAAUGGGCGCAAGCCUGAUGCAGCCAUGCCGCGUGUAUGAAGAAGGCCUUCGGGUUGUAAAGUACUUUCAGCGGGGAGGAAGGCGAUAAGGUUAAUAACCUUGUCGAUUGACGUUACCCGCAGAAGAAGCACCGGCUAACUCCGUGCCAGCAGCCGCGGUAAUACGGAGGGUGCAAGCGUUAAUCGGAAUUACUGGGCGUAAAGCGCACGCAGGCGGUCUGUCAAGUCGGAUGUGAAAUCCCCGGGCUCAACCUGGGAACUGCAUUCGAAACUGGCAGGCUAGAGUCUUGUAGAGGGGGGUAGAAUUCCAGGUGUAGCGGUGAAAUGCGUAGAGAUCGAAAAGAAUACCGGUUGCGAAGGCGGCCCCCUGGACAAAGACGAAAGAGCAGGUGCGAAAGAGUGGGGAGCAAAAA